rnacentral:rRNA from 1 species
UACGUAGGGUGCAAGCGUUAAUCGGAAUUACUGGGCGUAAAGCGUGCGCAGGCGGUUAUGCAAGACAGAUGUGAAAUCCCCGGGCUCAACCUGGGAACUGCAUUUGUGACUGCAUGGCUGGAGUGCGGCAGAGGGGGAUGGAAUUCCGCGUGUAGCAGUGAAAUGCGUAGAGAUGCGGAGGAACACCGAUGGCGAAGGCAGCCCCCUGGGCUAGCACUGACGCUCAGGCACGAAAGCGUGGGGAGCAAACAGG